UGGGGGAUAUUGGACAAUGGGGGGAACCCUGAUCCAGCGACGCCGCGUGAGUGAAGAAGUAUCUCGGUAUGUAAAGCUCUAUCAGCAGGGAAGAAAGAAAUGACGGUACCUGAGUAAGAAGCCCCGGCUAACUACGUGCCAGCAGCCGCGGUAAUACGUAGGGGGCAAGCGUUAUCCGGAAUUACUGGGUGUAAAGGGAGCGUAGACGGCGUAGUAAGUCUGGAGUGAAAGGCGGGGGCCCAACCCCCGGACUGCUCUGGAAACUAUUAUGCUCGAGUGCAGGAGAGGCAGGCGGAAUUCCUAGUGUAGCGGUGAAAUGCGUAGAUAUUAGGAGGAACAUCGGUGGCGAAGGCGGCCUGCUGGACUGUAACUGACGUUGAGGCUCGAAAGCGUGGGGAGCAAACAGG
rnacentral:rRNA from 1 species